rnacentral:rRNA from 1 species
UACGGAGGAUCCGAGCGUUAUCCGGAUUUAUUGGGUUUAAAGGGAGCGUAGGUGGAUUGUUAAGUCAGUUGUGAAAGUUUGCGGCUCAACCGUAAAAUUGCAGUUGAAACUGGCAGUCUUGUGUACAGUAGAGGUGGGCGGAAUUCGUGGUGUAGCGGUGAAAUGCUUAGAUAUCACGAAGAACUCCGAUUGCGAAGGCAGCUCACUGGACUGCAACUGACACUGAGGCUCGAAAGUGUGGGUAUCAAACAGG